rnacentral:rRNA from 1 species
GGCGGCCUUCCUAAUCGUGCAUGUCGAGCGGAGAUAGUGAGAGCUUGCUCCAUUAUCUUAGCGGCGGACGGGUGAGUAACACGUGGGCAACCUGCCCUGCAGAUCGGGAUAACUCCGGGAAACCGGUGCUAAUACCGAAUAGUUUGCGGCCUCUCAUGAGGCUGCACGGAAAGACGGUUUCGGCUGUCACUGCAGGAUGGGCCCGCGGCGCAUUAGCUAGUUGGUGAGGUAACGGCUCACCAAGGCCACGAUGCGUAGCCGACCUGAGAGGGUGAUCGGCCACACUGGGACUGAGACACGGCCCAGACUCCUACGGGAGGCAGCAGUAGGGAAUCUUCCGCAAUGGACGAAAGUCUGACGGAGCAACGCCGCGUGAGUGAAGAAGGUUUUCGGAUCGUAAAACUCUGUUGUGAGGGAAGAACAAGUACCAACUAACUACUGGUACCUUGACGGUACCUCACCAGAAAGCCACGGCUAACUACGUGCCAGCAGCCGCGGUAAUACGUAGGUGGCAAGCGUUGUCCGGAAUUAUUGGGCGUAAAGCGCGCGCAGGCGGUCCUUUAAGUCUGAUGUGAAAGCCCACGGCUCAACCGUGGAGGGUCAUUGGAAACUGGGGGACUUGAGUGCAGAAGAGGAAAGUGGAAUUCCACGUGUAGCGGUGAAAUGCGUAGAGAUGUGGAGGAACACCAGUGGCGAAGGCGA